UCUAGUUCCACACUGAAUGCACCAAAUCUCAUCUGAUCUCUGAGGCUAAGCAGGGCUGGACCUGGUUAGCAGUUGGAUUGGAAUGCUUUCCUUUUGUUCCAGUUUCCUAGUC
ensembl:rRNA 5S_rRNA 5S ribosomal RNA